rnacentral:rRNA from 1 species
UACGUAGGGGGCAAGCGUUGUCCGGAAUCAUUGGGCGUAAAGCGCGCGUAGGCGGCCCGGUAAGUCCGUUGUGAAAGUCAAAGGCUCAACCUUUGAACGCCGGUGGAUACUGUCGAGCUCGAGUCCGGAAGAGGCGAGUGGAAUUCCUGGUGUAGCGGUGAAAUGCGCAGAUAUCAGGAGGAACACCAAUGGCGAAGGCAGCUCGCUGGGACGUGACUGACGCUGAGACGCGAAAGCGUGGGGAGCAAACAGG